AGCUUUUCCAUUUUGGCAAUCGAUGCCGCCCUGGUGGGAGAAAUCAAAUAGGCGAAUAUCUCAGCCAAUCACAACACUGGUCGUAGAUUCUAUCCAGAUUUAUAAGCUAUGGCAGAAGACUGUCACCUUGUGACAAUAGAGAAAACAGCGAAAGAUGAAGACCUUGACGGUUGAAAUGUUACCAUUCUUUAUUAAAUAAUAGCCUUUGGGAGCAGCUAAACAGUGGAUGCCACCAGGUUUCCUCCAAAUGAAGAGCAUCUUGAUUCAAGCAAGCCUAAAUUAUAACCAUGGAUUCAAGACAUGAGACAUUACACUUAAAAUGCAUAGAAGAGCGUCUGCUAAAUGACUAAAAUGUAAAUGUAAAUGUAAAAGCCUCUGCUACUUUUAACUGCUGUGAUAUCUUAAAUCCAUGCAGACUACUGAGAAGUGACACUUGGCCAUAGGCUACUGCUGUGUUGGAGCAAAAAAUAAAACCUGUGAGUUGAAUCUGAGUCUGUGCAGUAAAUGCAAUUUUAUUCACGUUUGUCCAAUAAUACAUUUUUUUUUUUAAAAGUAAGAAGUAAGGAUAGUAUAAAUGCUCAUUAGGGGCGACCUCUUCCCUGUGGUGAUAACAUUAGGGCAUCCCUUCAUUGAUGUCCAAACCACUACUACUGGACCAGUGGCGGCUCCUGAAAAAAUUCUCAGGAGGGGCAAUUUUUCUGAUGAU